CGCAGGCUGCAACCCGCCUGCGUGAAGUUGGAAUCGCUAGUAAUCGCGGAUCAGCAUGCCGCGGUGAAUACGUUCCCGGGCCUUGUACACACCGCCCGUCACACCAUGAGAGUCGGGAACACCCGAAGUCCGUAGCCUAACUUUAACGAGGGGGCGCGGCCGAAGGUGGGUUCGAUAAUUGGGGUGAAGUCGUAACAAGGUAAC
rnacentral:rRNA from 1 species